UUUUCAAGUUGCCUGUGAAAGACCCCCGGAGCCGGGAGACCCUCACUCAAGUCUCGGGAUGAUGCGACCCCCCAAGAACUCACGUGAGACC
rnacentral:pre_miRNA from 14 species